AGGAGGCAGCAGUAAGGAAUUUUGGACAAUGGGCGCAAGCCUGAUCCAGCCAUGCCGCGUGAGUGAAGAAGGCCUUCGGGUUGUAAAGCUCUUUCAGACGGAAAGAAAUCGCACUUAUUAAUACUAAGUGUGGAUGACGGUACCGUAAGAAGAAGCACCGGCUAACUACGUGCCAGCAGCCGCGGUAAUACGUAGGGUGCGAGCGUUAAUCGGAAUUACUGGGCGUAAAGCGUGCGCAGGCGGCUUUGUAAGCCAGAUGUGAAAUCCCCGGGCUUAACCUGGGAACUGCAUUUGGAACUGCAAGGCUAGAGUGUAGCAGAGGGGGGUAGAAUUCCACGUGUAGCAGUGAAAUGCGUAGAGAUGUGGAGGAAUACCAAUGGCGAAGGCAGCCCCCUGGGUUAACACUGACGCUCAUGCACGAAAGCGUGGGGAGCAAACAGGAUUAGAUACCCUCGU
rnacentral:rRNA from 1 species